AGUGAACGCUGGCGGUAGGCCUAACACAUGCAGGUCGAACGGCAGCACAGUAAGAGCUUGCUCUUACGGGUGGCGAGUGGCGGACGGGUGAGGAAUACAUCGGAAUCUACUUUUUCGUGGGGGAUAACGUAGGGAAACUUACGCUAAUACCGCAUACGACCUACGGGUGAAAGCAGGGGAUCUUCGGACCUUGCGCGAUUGAAUGAGCCGAUGUCGGAUUAGCUAGUUGGCGGGGUAAAGGCCCGCCAAGGCGACGAUCCGUAGCUGGUCUGAGAGGAUGAUCAGCCACACUGGAACUGAGACACGGUCCAGACUCCUACGGGAGGCAGCAGUGGGGAAUAUUGGACAAUGGGCGCAAGCCUGAUCCAGCCAUACCGCGUGGGUGAAGAAGGCCUUCGGGUUGUAAAGCCCUUUUGUUGGGAAAGAAAAGCAGCAGGUUAAUACCCCGCUGUUCUGACGGUACCCAAAGAAUAAGCACCGGCUAACUUCGUG
rnacentral:rRNA from 1 species